rnacentral:lncRNA from 1 species
UCCUGUUAGGUAAAUCCACCAAAUCCCAUGUGUGAUUUUUGUCUAAUGCAUGUAUUUCCUCAAGUAUCACAUUUGACCAUCUAGAAUAAUGCAAAUCCUCCUUCAUAAUUUUUGGUACAGAAACAGAGGAGUCUAGAGAAGCAGUGAAGGAUAUAGAUGUAGAAGAUAAGUGAUCAUAAGAAACAAAGUUAGCAAUGGAAUAUUUGAUUUUCAAGUUCAUACACCUUUGCAGAGAGCAAUAGGGAGGUUAAGAUUUUUUGGAGGAUCAAAUAGAGGAUGACUUGAUGGAAAAGGUACCAGUGUAGGGCAUGUAUCAUCGUCUCUCAUAUCCUCAAACAAACUUGAACAAUUGAUGGUCUUUUUAAAAACAGAUGUCGAUGGCAUAAGAUUUGAUUGGUUCUCAAGAGAAUAUUAGGAGACGGAGGAAUAACAUGACCUGACUGAACAAUAUGAGUAACCUAAUAAACUAACCCUUCAUUUUCCUCUUCUUAACUUGUAGAACUGGGAGGGGUAUAGAAGAAUGGUGUAGUCUCGGAAAAUACCACAUCAUUUGACAUCGGAAAUUUACCAAGCUCAGUAUAAUAACAUUGAUACCCCUUCUAAAGACAAGAAUAAUCUAAGAAAACAUACUUUAAUAUCUUGGGGUCCAACUUGGUAACAGAUGGUCGAACAUCUCAAACAUAACACUUACUUCCAAAUACCUUUGGUUCCGCGAGAAAUAAUGAUUUGUUUAUAAAAAGAACAUUGUAAGUCAUAUUACCAAGAAGCACAAUCGAUGGCAUAUGAUUAAUAAGAAGCAAGUCAUAGAAACUGCAUCAACCCAAAAUAGUUUAGGAGCCUUUAUUUGGAACAAAAGUACCCGAGCUAUCUCAGGUAGAUGUUUAUUCUUCCUUUCAUCAACUCGAUUUUGAAGAAGGUGUAUCAACACAUGACAACUGAUCUAGAAUAACAUUUUGUCUCAUGUACGACUGAAACACUUCUAACAUGUAUUAUUUAGUAUUAUCACUCCUUAGAAUAUGCACUGAAUCAUUGAAUUGAGUUUUGACUUCAGAACAAAAGGCACAAACGUAAGGAAAUACUUCAAAGCAGCUUCUCAUAAAAUAAAUCCUAGUUAUCAUAGAUAAAUCAUCCACAAAAGUGAAAAAAUACUUGUGUAUAAUUUUGGAAACGGCAUAACAUGGUCCCCAAACAUCAGAAUGAAUUAGCUCAAAAGUUGACUCAACUCAUUUAUUAACCUUUGGACCUAAUAUUCUCCAAUUAUGUUUUGCAAGUUGGCAUGAUUCACAGUCCAAAGAAGGAACAUUCUAAAAUUAAGGGUAGAGCUUCUUUAACAAAGAUAAAGAAGGAUGUCCCAAACGACAAUGUGCUUCAAAUAGAGACAUGAAACUUGAGCCAAAAAUAAAUUGAGGCUCAUAGUCAUUAAAGAUAUAUAGAUUACACGUCAUUUACUAGUAACCUUAUGCAUAGAAAGAUCAUAAAACAAACAAUGACUGGGGAAUAAUGAAAUAUAACAAUUAAGAUCUCUAGUUAAUAUACUUACAGAAAUCAGAUUGAAAACCAACUAUGUUAUAUUUAACACAAAUGACAAGGUAAUCGAGAAGGUAGCUUUAACGGUCCUAGAUUCUAUAAUAUUACAUGUUCACCCAUUAGUUAUUAUUACCUAAGAGGGUUCUUUGUGUGAUCAAAAUGUAGAAAAUAUAUUAGGAUUACCUGUCAUGUGAUCUGUAGCACCUGGAUCAAUCACCCAGUGGUUCAAAGAGGAUACAAAACAUGUUUUUCUUGAAUCAACAAGGAUAGUAACUAAAGUGAAUUCUAUAAGCGAUUCUCGAUACUAAGAAAACUUUGCAAACUCAUUUGCCAAAACCAAAAUUAUCAUACCCUUAUGAUUUGUAGCCAUAUUUUCUCUUUCUAAUUAUUUGAGUUAUAUUUUCCAACUCAAAUACCCAAAGUAUUAAUAUAGAGAAGCCAACAAAAAGACCAACAAAUCUGAUAAUGAAAAGACAAUUCUUUAAUAUCACCAAUGCAAUAAAAAAGAACUUAAGAAUAGCAAGUAGAAACCAACUUGCCCAAGAAAAUAAUUAUAGCCGAUAGUCAAAUACCAAAUUAAUUUGACGCUAACAAUAGAGUAGGAUACAAAGCACAAAGGAACCAGAUAUCAAGUAACUUGAUAUUUGAGAAAAGUUUAGCAGUCACAGCAGUACCAAAUAGAAAUUCAAAUCUGAAUAGCAAAAAACUAUAGGAAAAAUAUAAACCUAAAAGUGAUGAAAAGCUAUCCAAUAGUGUUUCAACAGAAGAUAACAUAUGGAUUAUGCGAAGACUGAUGAGACGUGCUGAUGAAUGAGAGGCAUACAUGAAAUACAGGUGGCGCGUGAGUGUCACUCAUUUAACACACAAUUGUCAAAAAAGUUCCGAUCAAAAAUGGUGGUCUGUCUCCUCCUAUAGUGGUGGUAAAACAAAUUGACCACUUUGGAAGUGACCGAUUCAAAAUCCAAGCUUGAUUCUCAAAGAUAGUAACAUAUGAUAGUUGCCUUUCAAAGUGGAACUAAGAUAAGAUCAAAGAGCCUAUAGGCUCUGAUACCAUGUAAUUUAAUGAAAGUUUAAUGGAUAUCUUAUUCCAACAUGUAAUAAAGGAAUAAAUGCAAUAUAUAGGUGCUAACUUAGGAAAGAAAAUAAAGAGUGAAUGCUAUAAAUUUGCUACCUAAUUAUGUCUAUGGACAUUAUAAAGGAUGAUGUCGACAUAUAUUAUGUAAAAACUAGUAAUAACAUUAUAAAAAAAAUUGCUACAAGUAACCAACUGCCUUUUACCAUGAUAAUUUUUGAGAAUUAAUUCCCUGUAGGCUACAAGCAUCAAAAUAGAUAAAGGUAGCCCUCGAUAUUUUUCAACUCAAUUAUUUUCAAUUUAGUACAAUUAUAUACUAUACCAAAUAACCAACUGUAAAGUAAUUCUUGACUCAUCUAAACUCUGAGGCAUCAUUUCAUAAGGGGGAAUAUGGGAAUUAGCAUACUUAUUAUAAUACCUCAUAAAAGUCUUACCUUGUUUCAGCCCUCAUUGCAUGUUAAAGGAGACCAAAACUUGAAAAUUUGGCUAAGUGUUGAGGACUUAGUCAUUUCCACAAACCUUUAAGCUUUACUAAUUUUAUUUUUGAUCUACCCAACCUCAGAAUGUUGAUUUUUAAAUUGAUUAAUGAUCGGAGUUGAUCAAAGUACGUCUCGAAUAAGUUUUAAAAUUUUUGGAUGAGUGCAAGGGCAUGUUUAGAGAAGCAAAAUAGUAGCAACACUGGGAUGGUACAGCGGUGCCCCUUCCAUUGCACUGCACUAGAGCCCAUGAUGCCCCCUCCAAUGCACCCCACUGGAGCCCGUGGCGCGCCCUCUGUCUCCCAUCUAGCUUUUUGUUCCUCAUUAAUUAAGGGCAAUUGGGUUAUUUUUUCUUACCCAAACACGUCCGUAACAUGAAAUUUAAGUCCCCAAGGAGCAUUAUUUGCCCCUUCAUUCAAAAAAUUUCUCAAAAAAUCCAUCUCCCUCCUCAAGAACAAACUCAAACUAUUCUCAAGUAAUCAACGAAUUCAAGCUUCCAAUCUCAAGAAAUUCCUAAGAAUCUUCAUGAAUUUGACUAGUGAGGUAUGUAUGAUGUUCAUCCAUGGGUUCCUUUCACCCAUGGGGUCCAAGAACCCCUUUUUAAUCUUAAAUUAUAAGUUUUACAUGUUUCAAGUUGAAUUAUUUCCAUGAAUCUGAUGUUAAUUCAAUUGCAAGUUAUGUUUGUAAGUAUUUUUAAUGGAAAGAGCCAUUAUAUGUUUUGAAUGUGUAAUCAUUACAUUAAAUUCAUAAGCUAUGAUUUUUGUCAUGUAAUUAUGUUAUUCUCACAUGCUUUACCCAUUUCCAUGCUUAAGUUUAUGAUUCUCAUAUGUGUGAUGAAAUUCUAAAGUGUUGAAUUUUGAACAAUGAUCCCCUACUAUGGUUUAAAGCUUUUAUAUAGCAUUAUUGAUAAUUCCAUUUAGUGCUGGUGGGUUAUGAACACCUGAUACCUAUGUGAUUUACAUAAAUUUAGUUUUUAAGUAUUCAGACAGUUAAUCCAUAAAUUUUAUCAGUAUUCUCACAAUUUCAUAUUCCUGAUGAGCAGUAUCAGUUAUGUAAUAAUAUUUAGUCAAGCUUAUUCCAGUCUAGUCUCAGUGUCAGUUUAGUUGGGAGUAGGAUUUAGCACCGAGCAAACCCAGGGAUAAGGGCUCACCUACUAGUAUAGGGUGUGACCCUUAGUAACAAUCCCUGAGUUAUAUAACUAUGUAGCCAGCGUAGGUUUGAGAUAUCCACCUGCCAAUUUAUGGUUGACACAUAUCUCAUGAGAGCACCUAAAAGUAUAGGGUGAAUCCAUAGUUCUUUGAGACACCAGUUUUAAUGGAUCCACACAGCCAGUGUUAGUACCCGUGGCACGGUACUGACACCCUUCGAUCUGGGGUUAUAGGUUGGACCCUGAUUAACUCAUAUUAGGGCAUGUCAGUUAGAUAAUACCUCCUUCAGUCUCAGUAUAGUAUUUAGUGUAUAUUUAGUUUAGGUUUUCUUGGAUAAGUGUAUAGACUUUCAGAUAUUUAGUUUUAUAGCUUUCAGUCUUUUAGAUUUUGGAUUAUCCCAGUAACAUAAUAGAUAUAUGUUUAGUUUUGCAUUCUCAGAUAUUAUAGCUUUCAUACAUUCAUGUUCAGUUAUCUCAUGCUAUUCAAUUAGUCCUUAUAUCAUAUGUACAGUACACCAUGUAUAUAAUCUCAUCUUCAUCUUACAUAUCAAUACAUUUAAAGUACUGACCGUAUACUAUUCUUUAUGCUAUGAUGUCUUAUAUCAUAGGUUUGGAUGAUUAUUUCCCAAUCGCAGUUAGACAGCUAAGCGUAAUCCAAUAGCCAAAGUGGUGAGUCCUCAUCCAUCGAGGAUAUGUUAUGAUUAUUCAAUUAUUUUAGUAUUCUAUGUUGUUCAUUCAGUUAGAGUUAGCUGGGGGUCUGUCCAUCAACUCUUCAGUCAGUUUGGAGGCUUUUAGAUAUUCAGAUAGUCAGUUAGACAGUCAUCAGUUACAUUUAGUUUCUAUCAGAUAUUUCAAACUUAUGAUUGAUUUGUUAUUACAAUAUUUAGAUUACGUUCCCUUUUCUGUUUAUCUUCCGCACAUGUGUUAUAUUUAUAUUUUAUUUAGUGCUUAAACCAGGUACCAACUCAUGGGUUAGCUUGUAGUCAUUUGAGACUAUAAGCACUGUUUUCAUGACUAAGGCAUAACCUUGUGUUAUGACAAAACUUAGUAUAAGAGACCAGAGUUUUAAAGUAUCGUAGGGAGCUUCAUUCAAAAAAUUUCUCAAAAAAUCCAUCUCCCUCCUCAAGAACAAACUCAAACUAUUCUCAAGUAAUCAACGAAUUCAAGCUUCCAAUCUCAAGAAAUUCCUAAGAAUCUUCAUGAAUUUGACUAGUGAGGUAUGUAUGAUGUUCAUCCAUGGGUUCCUUUCACCCAUGGGGUCCAAGAACCCCUUUUUAAUCUUAAAUUAUAAGUUUUACAUGUUUCAAGUUGAAUUAUUUCCAUGAAUCUGAUGUUAAUUCAAUUGCAAGUUAUGUUUGUAAGUAUUUUUAAUGGAAAGAGCCAUUAUAUGUUUUGAAUGUGUAAUCAUUACAUUAAAUUCAUAAGCUAUGAUUUUUGUCAUGUAAUUAUGUUAUUCUCACAUGCUUUACCCAUUUCCAUGCUUAAGUUUAUGAUUCUCAUAUGUGUGAUGAAAUUCUAAAGUGUUGAAUUUUGAACAAUGAUCCCCUACUAUGGUUUAAAGCUUUUAUAUAGCAUUAUUGAUAAUUCCAUUUAGUGCUGGUGGGUUAUGAACACCUGAUACCUAUGUGAUUUACAUAAAUUUAGUUUUUAAGUAUUCAGACAGUUAAUCCAUAAAUUUUAUCAGUAUUCUCACAAUUUCAUAUUCCUGAUGAGCAGUAUCAGUUAUGUAAUAAUAUUUAGUCAAGCUUAUUCCAGUCUAGUCUCAGUGUCAGUUUAGUUGGGAGUAGGAUUUAGCACCGAGCAAACCCAGGGAUAAGGGCUCACCUACUAGUAUAGGGUGUGACCCUUAGUAACAAUCCCUGAGUUAUAUAACUAUGUAGCCAGCGUAGGUUUGAGAUAUCCACCUGCCAAUUUAUGGUUGACACAUAUCUCAUGAGAGCACCUAAAAGUAUAGGGUGAAUCCAUAGUUCUUUGAGACACCAGUUUUAAUGGAUCCACACAGCCAGUGUUAGUACCCGUGGCACGGUACUGACACCCUUCGAUCUGGGGUUAUAGGUUGGACCCUGAUUAACUCAUAUUAGGGCAUGUCAGUUAGAUAAUACCUCCUUCAGUCUCAGUAUAGUAUUUAGUGUAUAUUUAGUUUAGGUUUUCUUGGAUAAGUGUAUAGACUUUCAGAUAUUUAGUUUUAUAGCUUUCAGUCUUUUAGAUUUUGGAUUAUCCCAGUAACAUAAUAGAUAUAUGUUUAGUUUUGCAUUCUCAGAUAUUAUAGCUUUCAUACAUUCAUGUUCAGUUAUCUCAUGCUAUUCAAUUAGUCCUUAUAUCAUAUGUACAGUACACCAUGUAUAUAAUCUCAUCUUCAUCUUACAUAUCAAUACAUUUAAAGUACUGACCGUAUACUAUUCUUUAUGCUAUGAUGUCUUAUAUCAUAGGUUUGGAUGAUUAUUUCCCAAUCGCAGUUAGACAGCUAAGCGUAAUCCAAUAGCCAAAGUGGUGAGUCCUCAUCCAUCGAGGAUAUGUUAUGAUUAUUCAAUUAUUUUAGUAUUCUAUGUUGUUCAUUCAGUUAGAGUUAGCUGGGGGUCUGUCCAUCAACUCUUCAGUCAGUUUGGAGGCUUUUAGAUAUUCAGAUAGUCAGUUAGACAGUCAUCAGUUACAUUUAGUUUCUAUCAGAUAUUUCAAACUUAUGAUUGAUUUGUUAUUACAAUAUUUAGAUUACGUUCCCUUUUCUGUUUAUCUUCCGCACAUGUGUUAUAUUUAUAUUUUAUUUAGUACUCAUAGAAGGUACCAGUCAUGGGUUAGCUUGUGGUCACAUGUGAUUGUAAGCAUUGUUGUUACAACUAGGGGGUAGCCUCGGGCUGUGAAAAAACUUGAUAUCAGAGCGCAGAGUUUUAAAGUGACUAGGGAGUCUAAAAUUUGCAUUAAGUAGAGUCUUGUAAAUGAGUGUAAACUGCGCCAAGAUUAUGGACAAGAGGCUACAAGACAUUUUAAGAAAAUUUUCCCUUCUUUCAGUGUUCAUGUCAUGAGCUCUAGUUAAACUUUCUAUAUAAUUCAUCCUUCAUUCUAUUUUUAGACAAUGCCUCCCAAAAGAAAUAACGAAAGAAGGAACAGGAAUCAACCCGUACCACUAUCUGUUCAGGAAGAUCCCCUGAAUGAGCAUAUCUCUUACGCUGAAUUCAGAGCUAUUUUCACUACCUUAGCUUAUUCAGUAGCUGCUCAAAAUAAUCAGCAGGAUGUUGCACCAACUAAUCCAGUGGCAAAUACGACUGCGACCAGGAUUUGAGACUUUACCCUAAUGAAUCCUCCUUUUAUUUUUGGAUCCAAGUUUGAAGAGGAUCCGUAGGAGUUUAUUGAUAUGGUUCAAAAAGUGACAGAUAUAAUAGUCAUCACUUUGAGUGAGAGUGUAGAAUUGGCUGUAUAUUAGUUGCAGGAUAUAGCUCACACCUGGUAUAAGCAGUGAAAGAAAAAUAGGGGUGCUGAGGCAGGGCCUGUAGAGUGGGAGGAGUUUUGCCAUAAAUUUUUUAGAUAGGUUCUUCCCAUUAGAGUUGUGAAAAGCUAAAGUACAGGAGUUCAUCAAUUUGAAUCAAGGUAAUAUGAGUGUGAAAGAAUACUCACUUAAGUUUACCCAGUUAGCGAGGUAUGCUCCUUCGAUGGUAGUUAAUAAUAGGUCUAGAAUGAGUAAGUUUGUUUUUGGUGUAGAUGAUAGUGUGGUUAAGGAGUGUAGUACGACUAUGUUGAUUAAGUAUAUGGACCUAUCUGGGCUUAUGGUUUAUGCAAAAGAGAUUGAGGAAGAGAAGCAUAGAGAGAAAGAAAGAGAAAAUAAGAUGGCAAAGACAGGUAGUUUCAAUUUUUCUCAGCCAAGGUUAGAAGGCGGUAACUAUUGUCAGUUCCCUCCAAAACUUUUACCCCUAGCUCCAUCUUAAACUAGUGCACCAGUGCCAAAGUUUAGGAAUGACAAUCGGGAUAGAGCACCAGGCUCUAAGUCGUAGGGUAGCGUAAACAGUGGUCGUACUAAUACGCUCUACCAGAAGUAUGGUAAGAAUCAUCAGUGGGUAUAUAGAGUCGAUAGUGAUGUAUUUUUUAGAUAUGGCAAGCUAGACCACAGGUUCCAAAAUUGCCCGCAGGCUGGGCAACAGGGUCAGUCAAAUCAUCCGUUAGCUUCAGCAGGUCGCCCGACUCAACAUAGCGCCACUUCCAGUGCAACCAGUGGACAGCAGAAGAAUAGGUUGUAUACACUCCAGUCUUGACAGGAUCAGUAAAGUUCUCUUGAUAUAGUUAUGGGUACGUUACAAGUUUUUCAUCUUUAUGUUUAUGCUUUAUUAGACCCCAAGGCUUCACUUUCUUUUGUGACUCCUUAUAAAAUUGUCAACUUUGGCGUCAGUCCUGAAAUAUUAACAGAACCCUUCUCGGUGUCUACUCUAGUAGGUAGGGGUGUACAAAAACCGAACUGACCGAUAAACCAAACUGACAAAAAUUUUAUUAGUUUAUUGUUAUUGGGUUAAUGGUUUGUUAAUGGUUUUAUAAAAAGAAAAUUAUUGGGUUACUGGUUUGGUUUGAUUUUUUAUUAUUAGGUUAUUGGGUAAACCAAUAACCCAAUAAUAAUAUAUAUGUGUGUGUGUGUGCAUGACUUAUUAUAUAUUUCUCUUUAAUUUCAACCAAUUAAUAAACCUAUUAUUUCUAUUAUACAAACUCUUAAUUUCUCCUAACAAUAUUUAGUUCAAACUUGAAGAUUCUUGAAAUUAAAACACAUUAUGUAGGAUUUAUUUUUGCAAAUAAGAUUCAAUUUUUUUUCAUAUUAGUUACUACUAUUUCUAUUUUAUGAGUAUUUUCUUAUCAGUUAAACCAAAAACUGAACCGUUAAGGACUAAAAAUUGAUAAACCAAAAAUCAAUAAAAAAUAUCUUAUUGGUUUGGUUAUUGGUUUAGCAUAUUUAAAUACAAAAAGUUGAUAAAUCAAAAUGAUAAUAUAUAAAACCAAACCGAUCGAUGCACACCCCUACUAGUAAGUGUCUCUAUUAUAGCCACACAGGUAUACAGGAAAUAUCUAAUCAUAGUAUCCCAGAAAGUCACCUCAAUUUCCCUAGUAGAGUUAGAGAUGAAUAAUUUUGAUGUCAUUCUAGGCAUAUAUUUGCUCCACUUAUGUUAUGCCUCAGUUGAUUGUAGAAAUAGAGUCGUUCAGUUUCAGUUUCUCAAUGAACCUAUCAUUGAAUAGAGGGGUAGUAUUCAGUGUUUAACGGUCAGUUUGUUUCAUACCUUAGAGUAAGAAAUAUGAUAUCCAAGGGGUGUAUUUACCAUCUUGUUCGAGUCAAAGACUUCAGUUAUAAGACUCCAUGUCUCGAGUCAAUUUCAGUAGUAAGGAAAUUUCCAGAUGUGUUCCCUGAAGACUUUUUGGGAGUUCCUUCUGAAAGGGAAAUUAACUUUGGAAUAGAUAUCCUUCCAGAUACCCAGCCUAUAUAUAUUCCACCCUAUCGAAUGGCUCCAUAUGAGCUUAAGGAGUUGAAAGAAUAGUUGAAAGAUCUCUUUGAUAAGGGAUUCAUCAGGCCCAGUAUUCCUCCAUGGGGCGCUCCAGUCUUGUUCGCGCGUAAGAAAGAAGGUUCUCUUAGAAUGUGCAUUGAUUACCAUCAGUUGAAUAAGGUCACCAUCAAUAAUAAGUAUUUUCUCCCCAUAAUUAAUGACUUGUUCGACCAACUUUAGGGUGCCAGUCAUUUCUCUAAGAUAGACCUCAGAUCUAGCUAUCAUCAAUUUAGAGUCAGAGAAUGUGACAUUCCAUAGACAUCCUUCAGAACUCGGUAUGGUCACUUUGAAUUCCUCAUUAUGUAUUUGGGACUAAUAAAUUCCCCGACAACUUUUAUGGACCUAUGAACAUGGUUUUCAAUCAGUACUUGGACAUUUUUAUCAUAGUCUUCAUUGAUGACAUCCUUAUCUAUUCCUAUAGUAAAAAUGAUCAUGCAAACCAUCUAAGAAUUGUGUCGCAGGCCCUUAGAGCUUAUCAGUUAUUUGCCAAAUUCAGUAAGUAUGAGUUUUGGCUAAGAUCAGUAGCUUUCCUUGGCCAUAUUAUUUUCGGUGAUGGCAUUAGAGUUGACCCUCAAAAGAUCAAAGUAGUGAGAAAUUGGCCCAGACCCAUCUCUCCAUCAGAUAUCGAGAGUUUCUUGGGUUUGGAUGGCUAUUACAGGUGGUUUGUUGAAGGGUUUUCUUCUAUUGCAUCCCCCAUGUCUCAACUGACUUAGAAAAUAGUCAAGUUUUAGUGGUUAGAUUUUUGUGAGAAGAUUUUUCAGGAGUUUCGCUUAAUCUUGACCUUAUCAAAUGCUUUAGAUGGAUUUGUAGUUUACUUUGAUGCUUCCAUAUUUGGUAUUGUUUAUGUAUUGAUACAAAGAUAUAAUGUCAUAGCCUAUGCCUCUGGAUAGCAUAAGCCCCAUGAAAAGAAUUAUCCUACCCAUGAUCUUGAGUUGGCAAUUGUUGCAUUUGGUUUGAAGAUAUGAAGGCAUUACCUUUAUGGGGUUUAUAUGGAUGUGUUCACUAACCAUAAAAGUUUACAAUAUGUGUUCUCGUAGAAAUAUUUGAAUCUUCAUCAGAUAAGGUGGAUUAAGUUGUUAAAAUAUUAUAAUAUGGGUGUUGUAUCAUCCGAGCAAGGCCAAUGUAGUGGCAGAUGCUCUUAGUAGAUUGUAUAUGGAUAGUGUUGUCUAUGUUGAGGAGGAUAAGAAGAAGUUAGUCAGGGAGAUUUAUCAGUUGGCUAGAUUAGGCGUUCGAUUGGUUAAUUCGGCUGAGGGUAGUAUAUGGGUUCAAAAUGGUUUGGAAUCUUCAUUGGUUGCCGAAGUGAAGGAAAAUCAAGAUAGGGAUCCUAGUUUGGUUAAGUUGAAGAAAUAAGUUAGAGAUCAGAAGAUAAAGGUUUUCUCCUAAGGGGGAGAUGGUGUAUUGCACUGUGAGGGUAGGAUGUGUGUUCUAUGUGCUUAUGAUCUGAGAUAGCGAAUCUUAGUAGAAGCUCAUGGUGCACGGUAUUCCAUUCACCCAGGAGCCACUAAGAUGUAUCACGAUUUGCAGGAAGUCUAUUGGUGAAAUGGUGUGAAGAUAGAUAUUGUAGAGUUUCCAGCUAAGUGUUUAAUUUAUCAGUAGGUUAAAGUUAAGCACCAGUGGCCUAGUGGUAUAUUGCAGAAGUUCAGCAUCCCCACUUGGAAGUGGGAAUUGGUGAACAUGGAUUUUGUGAUAAUUUUUCCUCGUACGUGUCGUCAGCAUAAUUCUAUAUGGGUCAUUGUAGACAGAAUAACUAAAUCAACGAAUUUCUUGCCAGUUCAUACUUCCUAUACAACAGAGGAUUUGGCCAGGAUCUAUCUCAGGGAGUUGGUUAGGUUGUAUAGGAUUCCAUUGACUAUCAUAUCAGAUAGAGGUGGUACUCAGUUUACCUAUCACUUUUGGAAGGCUUUUUAAAAAGUCCUUGGUACCCAAGUUUAUCUCAGUAAAAGUUUUUAUCCUCAGACAAAUGGUCAGGAAGAGAGGACCAUUCAGACUUUAGAGGACAUGUUGGGGGUAUGUGUUAUUGACUUUAAAGGUAGUUGGGAUGACCACUUGCCUUUGAUUGAGUUUUCCUAUAAAAGUAGCUAUCACUCCAAUAUUCAGAUAGCUCUAUUUGAGGCUUUUUUUGGCAGGAGAUGUAGGUCUCAUAUUGGUUGGUUUGAAGCAGGUGAAACUACUUUUAUAGGGCCAAAUUCAGUGUUUAAUGUGAUGGAAAAAGUUUAGUUGAUUAAGGAGAGGCUGAACUAGCCCAAAGCCGGCAGAAAUCUUAUGCAGACAUGAGAAGAAGAGAUCUUGAGUUUGAGGUUCGCAAUUUGGUAUAUUUGAAAAUCUCACCCAUAAAGGGAGUGAAGUGAUUUGGAAAGAAGGGGAAACUCAUUCCUCGAUAUGUUGUCCCAUAUAGGAUCUUAAGUCAUUUUGGGAAGGUAUCCUAUGAGCUAGAGUUGCCUGUAGUUUUAGCAUCAGUACAUCCCAUGUUUCAUGUUUCGUUGUUGAAGAAAUAUAUCGGUGAUUUAAUUGUAGUUGUUCCUUUGGAGUCUGUAAAUGUUAAGGAUAGCCUUUCUUAUGAAGAGGUCCCAGUUGAGAUCCUUGAUUGUCAGAUUCGUAGACUAAGGAACAAAGAAGUUCCUUUGGUCAAAGUUAUUUGGCGGAAUCAGUCCUUUGAGAGACCCACUUGGGAAGAAGAAGCAGAUAUGCGAACUAAGUACCCUCAUAUUUUCGCCGUAAACUCAAAUUCAGCUAAAGGUAAUGAUUUUCCUCAUAUUGACUUUCUUUCAUUCUUAAUUUCAUCUAUGUAAUUCAUUCCAUAUCAUGGCAUACAUCCAGUUCAGUUCAAGUAUCAUUUUUCAGACUCAGUUAUGUAAUUAAGUUUCCAGUCAUGCAUAUCCAGUAUAUGAUCCCAGUUUUCUUAGUACUCUCCGCUAAACUAGUCUUAUUCGAGCACGAAUGUUUCCAAAGGGGAGAUAUCCUAAUACCCCAUAAAAGUUUUAGCUCAUUUUCACACUCAGUUCCAUGUUAAGGAGGUCCAAACUUGUAAAUUUUUCUAAGUGUUGAGGACAUAGUCAUUUCCAAGACCCCUAAAAUUCGAUGAUUUUAUUUUUGAUCUUCUCGACCUCACUACGUCGAUUUUUAAGUUGAUUCAUGAUCUGGUUUGUUCAAAGUAUGUCUCGGGUGAUUUUUAAAAUUUUCAGGAAAGUGUAAGGGCAUGUUUAGAGAAGCAAAACAAUAGCAGCGUCGGGAUGGGCCUGUGGUGCCCCCUUCAUUACACCGCACUGGAGCCCGCGGUUCCCCCUCAAUUUCACCUCAUUGGAGCCCGCGGUAUGCCCUCUAUUCCCCGUCCAUCUUUCUGUUCCUCAUUAAUUAAAAGCAAUUGGGUCAUUUUUCCUCACCCAAACUCGUCCAUAACAUGAAAUUAAGUCCUCCGGAGCAUUAUUUUCCCCUUUAUUCAAAAGAGAUCUCAAGGAAUCCAUCUCCCACCUCAAGAACAAACCCUAACCUAUUCUCAAGCAAUCAAGUAAUUCAAGUUUCCAAUCUCAAGAAAUUCCCAAGAAUCUUCACAAAUUCGACUAGUGAGGUAUGUGUGAUGUUCAUCCAUGGGUUCCUUUCACCCUUGGAGUCCAAGAACCCUUUUUGAUCUUAAUUUAUUAGUUUUACAUGUUUCAAGUUGAAUUAUUUCCUUGAAUCUCGUGUUAGUUCAAUUGCAAGUCAUGUUUGUAAGUAUUUUCAAUAGAUAAAUCCAUUACAUAUUUUGAAUGUGUAAUCUUCAUGUUAAAUCCCUAAGCAAUGAUUUUAGUCAUGUAAUUAUGUUAUUCUUACAUACUUUACCCAUUCUCAUAAGUUCAUGACUCUCAUGUGUUUGAUGAAAUGCCAAAGUGUUGGAUUUUGAACAAUGAUCCCCUACUAUGGUUUAAAGCUUUUAUACGGCAUUAUUUAUAAUUUCAUUCAGUGCUGGUGGGUUAUGAACACCCGAUACCUAUCUGUUUUACAUAAAUUUAGCUUUUUUAAGUAUUCAGAUAGUUAAUCCAUGAAUCUUAUCAGUAUACUCAGAUAUUCAUCUUCAUGAUGAGCACUAUCAAUUAUUUAAUAACAUUCAGUUAAGCUUAGUCCAGUCUAGUCUCAGUGUCAGUUUAGUUGGGGGUAGGAUUUAGGACCGAGCAAACCCAAGGAUGAGGUCUCACCUACCACUAUAAGGUGUGACCUUUAGUAGUAAUCCCUGAGUUAUAGAACUAUAUAGACAACAUAGGUUUGAGAUAUUCACCUGCCAUUUUAGGGUUGACACAUAUCUUAUAAGAGCACCUGGUAGUAUAGGGUGACUCCAUAGUCCUUCGGGACACCAGUUUUAGUUGAUCCACAUAGCCAGUAUUCAUACCCAUGGUACGGUACUGACGCCAUUCCAACUGGGGUUACAGGUUAGACCUCGAUUAUCUCAUAUUGAGGGGUGUCGGUUAGAUGAUACCUCCCACAGUCUUAGUAUAAGACCUCACAAAAAUCUUAGUCAUUUCAGUCCUAAAUAGCAUGCCAAAAGAAGUCCCAGACAUAGAAAAAUUCGGCUAAGUGUUUGAACUUAGUCAUUGCCUUCAAACUUUGGUAAAUUUUAAUUUGCCCUUCUAAGACUUAAAACACCAGUUUCCAAGUUGAUUCAUGAUCAGGGUCACUUGUAGGUCAUCUCGGGUGAGCUUUAGAUUUUUCAGACUAACGUAAGGGGUUUGGAUAUCCAAAAUAGCAAGGGGUGGUGAUAGGGAUGCGCCGCGAGGGCCAAUUGACCUAGGCUUAGGGUCGUGCCGCGAUGGCUGCUUGACCCAAGCAGGGGUUGCACUGUGAUAACCGUUUGACCCAAGCAGGGGUCGCAGUGCAAUAGGGACCCCAUUCAACAUUUUUUUAUUCGUGUUUAUGGGGGUAAAUGGGUUAUUUUCCCCUUACAAUAUUCAGCCAUAACACGAAAUCAAUCCUCCUAAAGGGCAAACUCACUCAUUAUUUCAUAAAAUUCUUUCAAUAGCAAGCCCUAGGUUCAUUUAAUUCAAGUCUAAGCCUCAAGAGUUCACCAUCAAUUCUCACGAAUUCAGAAAACAAGGUAUGUUAGGUGUUCAUCCUUGGGUUCCCUUCCACCCUUGGAGUUUAAGAACUAUUUUCAAAACUUGAAUUAUGAUUCCCAUGAGAUCUUUUAUGAGUUUCCAUGAAAUUAUGUUAACAUGUGUGUUGAAUUAAGAAUCUCUCAUGAUAAAACCCUUGAAUUUGCAAAAUUAUAUGUUGAAGUCAUGAUGCCCUAUAUAUUAUUCUUCAUAUAUCAUAAUCAUGCUCUACAAGUGUUUGAUAGAAUGUCCAUAUGAAUUGAAUAGUGAAAUCAUGACAUGUUAGCACGUGUUCCCAAUCAUGUAGUAGUUCACGACCUCCAAAUGUUUGACUAAAUGCCUCAAUGAAUGAAUUGUGAACAAUUGACUAUUGGAAUGCUUUCAAUAUUUGUCAUGCUUUAUUAUUGAUGAUAUCAAGUCCUGGGGGUAUUUAUUAUCGAAAUCUAGUUGUUUACUUAGUUGCAGUAGUUAUAGAAUAGUCCUCGUAAAGUUCAAGAACAGUAGUACUCAGUCAGUAACAAAACUCAGUGAACUCAGUCCAGUUCAGUCAGUUAACACGAUCAGUGUCAGCUCAGUCAAGCCUAGUACAGUCUAGUGAUCAGUUCAGAGUCGAUUCAGUUGGGAGUAGGAUUCAGCACCGAGCGAACCUAGGGAUGGGGUCAUUCCUAUUAGCAAACGAUUUGUCCCUUAGUAGCAAUCCCUGUGUUACAAAACUACGUAUCUAAUAUGGGGUAAGUCAUCCUUCUGCCAGGUUAGGGUUGACGCAAUCAUAUAUAUGUAUUUCAUGAGUCUUUCUGCCAUAUUAGGGUUGACCCAGCUUUGUUAGUAUCCCUUGGCAAGGUGCUAACACCCUUCCAACUGGAGUCAAAGGUUAGACCCCAAAUCAUUCUAUAUCAGGGUAUGUCAGUUAGAUGAACAUCUCACAAUUACAGUUUCAGUCUCAAUAUUCAGUAAAGAACUCAGACAGUUCUAUAGAAUAAUGGUUAUCAGUUAUCAGUUAUCAAUUAUCAGUUACAUAGCCAUCAGAAUUCAGUACUUAAUUUUAAUAAAAUCCUAAAUACAUAAUGUAUAAUUACAUGCAUUGUAUCGCACAUUCAACAUGCUCAACAGUUACGAUUUUACAUGUAUAUUCAUUUAGUUACUUUAUGAUAUUUAUUCAGUCAGUUAUCAUCUCAUGCAUAUAAACCUAUGUAUUAUUAGCCUACCUCACUUAGAAUAACAGUACAUUUCACGUACUGAUGCAUACUUUCUUUUGUGCUAUGAUGUCUCAUAUCAUAGGUUUCGAUGCUCAAGUUCCUGAUCGUACUUAGCAGCUUGGGCUAUCAGCCUUAGAUAUAGGGGUGAGUCCUCAUAUUUCGAGGACAGAUUUUAUUUAUUUUAGUAUUUAAGAUCCUCAGUAGUCAGUUCAGUUGAGGUUAGUUGGGGACUUAUCCCAUCAACUCCAUAUUCAGAUAGUUAGAGGCUUUCAGACUAGCAUAGUGAGUAUUCAAUUUUUUAGAUAUUGUUAUCAGUUUUAUCCUCAGUAUUCAGUAUUUUUUUCAGCUUAUGAACCUUAUGUCAAUCUCAAAUUACUUCUAUAUAUAUUUAGUAUUAUUAUUUAGUGCUCACAGAAGGUACUCGUCAUGGGUUAGCUUGUGAUCCUUCAGGGUUGUAAGCACCGUAUGGCAUUCGGGGUGUAGACUUGGGGCAUUACAAACUUGGUAUCAGAGCCAAAGGUUAUAAAGAGUCCUAGGGAGUCUGAAAUCCACGUCAAGUAGAGUCUUGUGCAUGGGUGUGUAGCGCGCCACACUUAUGCACAAAAGGCUAUGAGGUGUUUAGGAAAAAAGUUCCCUUUUUUCAGUGUUCAUAUCGUGCGAGUGAGCAUGAUCUCAAGUUAAACUCUCUAUCUAAUUCAAUUUUCCCUUUUGUUUACAGAACAUGCCUACAAAAAAGACCAACAGAAGAAGGAUUGGAAAUCAGCCAGCACAUCCGCUUGUUUAGGAAGAUCCCCUGAAUAAGCACUUCUUUUACGCAAAAUUCAGGGCAGCUUUCACCACUCUAGCUCAUUUUGUAGUAGCCUAGAAUAUACGUCCAGCUGCUGUUCAGGCCAACCCAGUGGUCAAUACUUCUAUAGCUAGAAUUCAAAACUUCACCCGAAUGGACCCUCCAUCAUUUAUAGGGUCUAAAUCUGAAGAGAACCCACAAAAAUUCCUUGACAUGGUGCAAAAGGUAACAGAUAUUAUGGGGGUAACCACAAGUGAGAAUGCUGAGUUAACCUCUUACCAGUUACAAGAUAUGGCCCACACAUGGUUUAAGAAGUUGAAGCUAGAUAGGGGCACAAAUGUAGGGACCAUAGAAUGGGAGAAUUUUGCUACUGCCUUUCUAGAUAGGUUUUCCCAUUAGAGUUGAGGGAAGCUAAGGUUCUAUAGUUCAUCAACCUAAAGCAGGGCAACAUGACAGUGAAGGAGUAUUUCCUCAAGUUUACUCAAUCGGCCAGGUAUGCUUCUCAUUUAGUUAUGGAUAGCAGGUUUAAGAUGAGUAAGUUCAUAUCGGGUAUAUCUAACAGUGUGGUUAAGGAGUGUAGGACCACAAUACUGAUCAAGAAGAUAGAGUUUUCCAGGUUGAUGGUCCAUACUCAACAGAUUGAGGAUAAAAAACUAAGGAGAAAGAGAGAGAAAACAAGAAAGCUAGAAUAGGUAGCUUCAAAUUCACUCAACCUAAGUCAGAGGGUGGUAAUCAUCCUCAGUUCCACCCAAAAUCUUCAGUCCCAGCUCAGUCCUCAGCCAAUGCUCCAGUGCCAAAAUUCAGGGAUGGUAAUAAGGAUAGGGCGCCAGGCUCUAGAUCUCAGGGUAGUGUUAGCAGUGCCCAAGCAAAUCUUCUCUGUCAAAAGUAUGGUAGAAACCAUCAGGGUAGCUGCAGGGCUAGCAGUGAUAUAGGUUUCAGGUGUGGCAAGCCAGGUCAUAAAAUCAGAGAGUGUCCUCAAGUAAGUUUGCAGAGUUAGGAUAAUCAUCCCCCAGCUCAGUCUGGUUGCCUAUUUCAGUAGGGUGCCACUUCUAGUGCCACCAGUGGGAAACGCCCAAAUAGACACUAUACACUCCAGUCCCAACAAAAUUAGGAAAGUUCUCCAGAUGUGGUCACUGGUACAUUACAAGUUUACCAUUUAUAUGUUUAUGCUUUGCUAGAUCCAGGAUCUUCUUUGUCCUUUGUAACUCCUUAUAUAGCUGUUGACAUUGGAGUCAGUUCAAAAAUCAUAGCAGAGCCUCUCUUAGUAUCUACCCUAGUGGAUAAAUCUAUCAUAGCCCAAUGGGUAUACAGAAACUGUCCAAUUAUGGUAUCUCAGAAAGUUACUUCAUCAGACUUAAUAGAGUUAGAGAUGAUGGAUUUUAACGUCAUUCUCAGGAUAGAUUGUCUUCAUUCAUGCUAUGCUUCAGUUGAUUGUAGAAACAGAGUUGUCCAUUUUCAAUUCCUGAAUGAACCUGUCCUAGAAUAGAGGGAAAGUACUUAGUGCUUAAGGGUUAACUUAUCUCAUCCCUUAGAGCAAGAAAAAUAAUAUCCAAGGGAUGUGUCUAUCAUCUUGUUUGAGUUAAAGAUUCUAGUUCUGAGACUCUUAAUCUUGAGUCAGUUCCUGUCAUAAGUGAAUUCUCAAAUGUGUUUCCCGAAGAUCUUCCUAGAGUUUCUCCGAAAAAGGAAAUUGACUUCUGAAUAGACCUUCUUCCUAAUACUCAUCCCAUCUUUAUCCCACCAUACAGAAUGGCUCCAGCUAAACUUAAAGAGUUAAAAAAGCAGUUGAAGGAAAUCCUAGAUAAGAGAUUCAUCAGGCCCAGUAUAUCCCCUUUGGGUGCACUAGUUCUAUUUGUGUGCAAGAAAGACGAUUCUCUCAGAAUGUGUAUUGACUACCAUCAGUUGAACAAAGUCACCAUCAAGAAUAAAUACCCACUUUCUAGAAUCGAUGACUUGUUUAACAAACUUCAGGGUGCCAAUUAUUUUUCUAAGACAAUUGGACAUGUUCAUCAUAGUCUUCAUCAAUGUCAUUCUUGUCUACUCCCAUAGUGAAAAUGAUCAUAUAGACCAUCUCAGAAUAGUAUUACAGACCCUCAGAGCCAUUAGUUGUUCGCCAAAUUUAGUAAGUGUGAAUUUUGGCUAAGGUCAGUAAUUUUUCUUUGUCAUAUAGUUUCUGGUGAUCGCAUGGAGUUGAUUCUCAAAAGACCAAAGUAGUAAGAAACUAUCCUAGACCUAUCUCUCCAUCAGAUAUCAGGAGUUUCUUGGGUUUGGCUGGUUAUUACCAAUAGGUUGUUGAAGAAUUCUCAUCUAUUGCAUCCCCCAUAUCUAAAUUGACUCAGAAGAAAGCCAAGUUUCAAUAGUCAGAUUCUCGUGAGAAGAGUUUUCAGGAGUUGAAGACUCGACUCACCAUAACCCCAGUUUUGACUUUGCCCGAUGGUUCAAAUAAAUUUAUGGUUUAUUGUGAUACUUCUAAAGUUGGUUUGGGGUGUGUUUUGAUGCAGAAGGGUAAGGUUGUAGCCUAUGCCUCUAGACAGCUUAAGCCCCAUGAAAAUAAUUAUCCCACCCAUGAUUUAGAGUUAGCAGCUGUUGUGUUUUCCUUAAAGAUUUAGAGGCGUUAUUUUAUGGGAUGCAUGUUGAUAUGUUCACAGACCAUAAAAGCCUAUAGUAUGUAUUUUCUCAGAAAGACCUGAACUUGCAUUAGAGAAGGUGGUUAGAGCUAUUGAAAGACUAUGACAUGAGUAUUCUGUAUCAUCUGGAGAAGGCCAAUGUAGUGGCAGAUGCCCUCAAUAGAUUAUCCAUGAGUAGUGUUGCUCACGUUGUGGAUGGUAAGAAGAAGUUAGUUCAGGAAGUUCAUCAACUGGCCAGGCUAGGUUUCCGUUCAGUUGAUUCGACUGAGGUAGUAUUUGGGUGCAAAAUAGUUCAGAAUCAUCCUUGGUUUUUAAAGUAAAAGUAAAGCAGGACAGGGAUCCCAGUUUAGUUAAGUUGAAAGAGUCAGUUCGAGACCAAAAAGUAGAGGUUUUCUCCCAAGGAGAAGAUGGUAUGUUGUGCUGUCAGGGUAGAUUAUGUAUUUCAUGUUUGGAUGGAGUAAGAUAGAGGAUCUUAGCAAAAGUGAAUGAUGCAUGCUACUUGAUUCAUCCAGGGGCCACUAAGAUGUACCACGACUUGUGGGAAGUCUAUUGGUGCAGUAGGAUGAAAAGAGACAUUGUAGAGUUUGUAGCUAAGUGCUCCACGUAUUAGCAUGUUAAGAUUGAACAUCAAAAGCCUAGUGGGUCUAUGCAGGAGUUCAAUAUUCCCACUUGGAAGUGCGAAAAAGUGAACAUGGACUUUAUGAUAGGUUUGCCUUGUACUCAUCAGCAGCAUGAUUCAAUUUAGGUCAUUAUGGACAUGAUGUCCAAAUCAGCUCAUUUUUUGCCAGUUCAUACCUCUUAUUCAGCCAAGGAUUAUGCCAAACUCUAGUUAGAGAGUUGGUCAGAUUGCAUGGUGUUCCGUUGUCCAUCAUUUUAGAUAGAGGUACGUAGUUUACCUCUUACCUUUGGAAAGACUUCUAAAAGGGUCUUGGUACCCAAGUUCACCUCAGUACAACCAUUCAGACUUUAGAAAAUAAUUUGAGAACGUGUGUUAUUGACUUUAAGGGUAGUUGGGAUAAUCACUUACCUUUUAUUGAGUUUGGGUAUAAUAACAAUUACCAUUCCAGUAUACAAUUGGCUCCAUUUGAGGAUCUUUAUGGGAGAAGAUGUAGAUCUCUCAUUGGUUGGUUUGAGGUAGGUGAGGCCGCGGUAGUAGGACCUGACUUAGUGUUUGAUGCGUUAGAGAAAGUACAGUUAAUCAGAGAGAGGCUUAAGGCAGCCCAGAGCUGACAGAAACCUUAUGUAGAUAUAAGAUAGAAAAACAUGGAAUUUGAGAUUGUGAUUUUGUGUAUUUGAAAAUCUCUCCCAUAAAGGGAGUGAAGAGAUUUGGAAAGAAAGGGAAGAUUAGUCCCCUAUAUGUUGGUCCUUACAGAAUUCUGAGUCAUUUUGGUAAGGUAGCUUAUGAGCUUGAGUUACUUGCAGACCUAGCUUCAGUGCAUCUAGUGUUUUAUGUCUCCGUGUUAAAGAAGUGCGUAGGUGACCCAGCAGUUGUAAUCCUUAUAAAGAAUGUAGAUGUUCAGAACAGUCUUUCUUAUGAGGAAGUCCCAGUUGAAAUCCUUGAUUGUUAGAUUCACAGACUAAGGAAUAAAAAAGUUCCUUUGAUCAAAGUUCUUUAGCGGAAUCAAUCCGCUGAGGGAGCUACUUGGGAAGAAGAAGUAGAUAUACAAACCAAGUACUCUCACCUCUUCUCCACAAACUUAGACUCAACCUAAGGUAAAUUUUUUCCUUAGAUUUACUCUAUUCCUUACUCAGUUACAGUUGUAUAAUCUUCGCAUAUCAUUCAUGUAUUCAUGAAAUAGUUCAGUCAUGUAUCAUAUCUCUAUAAUUCGGUCAUGCUUCAGUUAUGCAUGUCAGUGUGAAUAAAGCAUAGUUCCUCAAUUUUGUCAGUCUCAUUUGAGGACGAAUGUUCCCAAGGGGGAGAUAUUGUAAGACCCCGCAAAAAAUCCUGGUCAUUUCAGUCCUAAAUAGCAUGCCAAAAGAGGUUCCAAACUUUGAAAAAUUCAGCUAAGUGUUAGAACUUAGUCAUUUCUAGAUCCUUCAAACUUUGGAGAAUUUUAAUUUGACCUUUUCGGCCUUAAAACACCAAUUUUCAAGUUGAUUCAUGAUCAGGGUCACUCGUAGGUCAUCUCGGGUGAGUUUCAGAUUUUUCAGACUAGCGUAAGGGUGAGUUUGGAUGUCCAAAAUAGUAAGGGGUCGUGAUAGGGCCGUUUCGUGAGGGCCAGUUAACCUAGCCUUAGGGUCGCACCGCGAUGGCUACUUGACCCAAGCAAGGGUCACACCGCGAUGGCCGCUUGACCUAAGCAGGGGUCGCGAUGCGAUGGGGACCCCAUUCAGUAUUUUUUUAAUCCUUUUUUGUGGGGGUAAAUGGGUCAUUUUUCCCUUACAUUAUUCAACCAUAACACGAAAUCAAGCCUCCUAAAGGGCAAACUCACUCAUUAUUUCACAAAAUUCUCUCAAGAGCAAGCCCUAGGUUCAUUAAAUUCAAGUCUAAGCCUCAAGAGUUCGCCAUCAAUUCUCACGAAUUCAGAAACCAAGGCAUGUUAGGUGUUCAUCCUUGGAUUUCCCUCCACCCUUGGAGUUUAAGAACUCUUUUCAAAACUUGAAUUAUGAUUCACAUGCUAUAAAUUGAAUUGUGCUCAUAUUUGUGUUGUUGUAUGGGUUUCAAAUUAAGAUCUUUUAUGAGUUUCCAUGAAAUUAUGUUAGCAUAUGUGUUGAAUUAUGAAUCUCUCAUGAUAAAACCCUUGAAUUUACAAGAUUACAUGUUGAAGUCAUAAUGCCCUAUAUAUUAUUCUUCAUGUAUCACAAUCAUGCUCCCAAGGUGUUUGAUAGAAUGUUCAUGUGAAUUGAAUAGUGAAAUCAUGACAUGUUAGCAUGUGUUCCCAAUCAUGUACAAGUUCAUGACCUCCAAAUGUUUGACUAAAUGCCUCAAUAAAUGAAUUAUGAACAAAUGACUAUUGCUAUGCUUUCAAGAUUUUUUUAUGCUUUAUUAUUGAUGCUAUCGAGUCCUGGGGUAUUUAUUACCCGAAAUCUAGUUGUUUACUUAGUUGCAGUAGUUAUUGAAUAGUCCCAAUAAAGGUCAAGAACAGUAGUACUCAGUCAGUAACAGAACUUAGUGAACUCAAUCCAGCUCAGUUAGUUAACACGAUCAGUGUCAGCUCAGUCAAGCCUAGAACAGUCUAGUGAUCAGUUCAGAUUUAAUUCAGUUGUGAGUAGGAUUCAUCACCGAGCGAACCCAGGGAAUGAGGCAUUAAUGCCAGCAGAGGGUUUGACCUAUAGUAGCAAUCCCUAUGUUACAGAACUACGUAGAUAGCAUGGGGUAAGUCAUUCUCCUACCAGGUUAGGGUUGACGCAAUCAUAUAUAUAUAUAUGUGUGUGUGUGUGUGUGUGUGUGUGUGUGUAUAUAUUUCAUUAGUGUUCCUGCCAUAUUAAGGUUGACCCAGCUUUGUUAGUAUUCCGUGGCAAGGUGCUAACACCCUUCCAACUGGGGUCAGAGGUUGGACCCUAAAUCAGUCUAUAUUGGGAUAUGUCGGUUAGAUGAACACUUCCACAAUUACAGUUUUAGUCUCAGUAUUCAGUAAAGAACUCAAACAGUUCUACAGAACAAUGGCUAUCAGUUAUCAGUUAUCAAUUAUCAGUUACAUGGCCAUCAAAAUUUAGUACUCAUUUUUAAUAUAAUCCUAGAUACAUGAUAUAUAAUUACAUACGCAGUAUCGUAUAUUCAGCAUGUUCAGCAGUUACAAUUUUACAUGUAUAUUCAUUCAGUUACUUCAUGAUAUUUAUUCAGUCAGUUAAUAUCUCAUCCAUAUAAACCUAUGUAUUAUCAGCCUACCUCACUUAGCAUACCAGUACAUUCCACGUACUAACGCAUACUUUUUCUUGCGCUAUGAUAUCUCAUAUCAUAGGUUCGGACACUCAGGUUCCCGACCGUACUUAGCAGCUCAGUCUAUUAGCAGAAGAUAUAGGGGUGAGUCCUUAUAUUUUGAAGACAUAGUUUAUUUAUUUUAGUAUUUUAAGCAGCUCAAUAGUCAGUUCAAUCGGGGUUAGUUGGGGAAUUAUUCCAUCAACUCUAUAUUCGGACAAUUAGAGGCUUUCAGACUAGCACAGUGAGUAUUCAAGUUUUCAGAUGUUGUUAUCAGUACUAUCCUCAGUAUUCAAUAUUUGUUUUCAGCUUAUGAACGUUAUGGCAAUCUCAGAUUACUUCCACAUAUAUUGUUCAGUAUUAUUAUUCAGUGCUCACAGCAGGUACCAGUCAUGGGUUAGCUUGUGAUCCUCCAGGGUCGUAAGCACUGUGUGGCGUCUGGAGUGCAGACUCGGGGCAUUACCCUUAGUAUAGUAUUCAGUGUAUCUUCAGUUUAGGUUUGGUUGGAUAAGUGUACAGACUUUCAGAUAUUCAGUUUUACAGCUUUCAGUCUUUCAUAUUUUAGAUUAUCUCAGUAACAUAAUAGAUAUAUACUUAGUCUUGCAUUCUCAGAUGUUAUAGCUUUCAUGCAUUUACGUUCAGUUAUCUCAUGCUAUUUAUUUAGUCCUUAUAUCAUAUGUACAGUACCCUAUGUAUAUCAACCUAUCCUCAUCUCAUAUACCUGUAUAUUCAAAGUACUGACCGCAUACUUUUCUUUGCGCUAUGAUGUCCUAUAUCACAGGUUAGGACACUCAAUUUCUUGACCACAGUUAGACAGCUCAGCCUAAUCCAGCAGCCGUAGUGAUGAGUCCUUAUCCAUCAAGGACAUGUUAUGAUUAUUUAGUUAUUUCAGUAUUUCAUAUUAUUCAGUUAGUUGGAGUUAGUUGGGGUCUGUCCCAUUAAAUCCUCAGUCAGUUUAGAGGCUUAAAGACAUUUAGAUAGUCAGUUAGACAGUCAGGUAAUUUUUAUCAGAUGUUUCAUAUUUAUGAUUGAUUCGUUAUUUCAGUAUUCAGAUUUACAUUCCCUUUUCAGUUUAUCUUCUGCACAUGUGUUAUGUUUAUAUUUUAUUCAGUGCUCAUAGCAGGUACUAGUUAUGGGUUAGCUUGUGGUCACUUGUGACCCUAAGCACCGUUGUUACGACUAGGAGGUAGCCUCGGGUCGUAACAUUUAUCCACUUUAAGCCUCAAUCAAAAUUAUUCGACCAGGCCCGGCUUUUACCUAAAUCCACUAAAGCUAAGACUUUAGGCUCCCAAAUUUUGGGGGUCCCAUUUUUUUUUUAUCAAUUAUAAGUUGUUAAUUCUAUAUUUUUUUCAUUAGAAAAUAUUAAGAACUUUUUAAUAUUUUCUUUGUUUCAUUUUAAUGUCAUUUUAGCUCAAAAUAAUAUCAAUUUAGGAAUUCAAGAUUAAGUUUGAUAAUUAUUUACUUUACUCUUAACAUUAAAAUAGAUUUAUUUUUAAUACUUUUCAGUCCUUAAAAAAAUCUAAUAAUUAGAGAUAACUUAGUAAACUAUAUCUUAUAUUUGUUAUUUUGCUUAAUGAACGUGAAAAAAAAUUAAAACAAAAGUUAAAGUGGGAUGGAGGAAGUAGAAAGAGAAGAAAUAUUUCAAUAAGUUUCAAAUGUUUAAUUGCUUGUAGAGUUCCUAUAACAAUUGUCUCAAUUGAAAGAAUUUUUUUUUAAUGAAAAUUUUGAAGAUGUUACCUAAGAUCAACAUCUCAAGAGAAAUUGAAUGAUUUAGGUAUACUAUUAAUUGAAAAGUAAUUAUUGAGAGGAAUUGAUUAUAAAAUAAUUUUAUUCAUAAUUUUACACCUAAAAAAGCUAUAGAAAUGAACUUCAAAUAAAAAUGCUAUAUAAAAAUCUUUUACUCCUCAAAAAGCUAUAGAAAAGAACUACAAAUAAAAAUGUUAUACAAAAAUCUUUUACCUAUUUUUUUAAGGCCUUAUUUUGAAGUUUUGCUUUAGGCCACCAAGUACAUUGACUACUGAGCCACCUCCGAAUUCGACUCCCAUUUUCUUCAUCAGGAAGAGUUCUUGUAAUCACUUCGCAUAUCUAUUUACUUCAAACAUCAUCAAUGACUAUCAUAUACUUUCGACCCUUAAGUGAUUGAUAUGAUUCAUCAUAGUUAAACCAUUUUUAACGCUCCAUCAACCUAUUGCAACCCUUUUACUUUAUUUUGCAUGGGACAAAUUGAGGACAAAUUAUCAAUUGUAUAGAAAAGAUGUAAAUGACUUGAAGAGACUUGAAUUUGCUUUGAUUCAAUAUCCUAUGGUACCUUUAAAUAUAUACAGACUACUAAUGUGCAGAGAGAAAGCUUAAGAAUCAAAACUUUUGUUAUAUAUGACUAACAAAGGUGAAGAAGAGGAUGGUGCAUGAGGAAAAGAAAUGGGGGAUGAUGACAUAUGGCAAGUGCAUUUUGGAUCAUGUAUUGCUUCCUUUCUGUGAAAAUCAAGUUUACUACAGAAGACACAAUAAUGCCCAAAAGAUGCUUCUUUUUUCCCCUCAUCGUCAUCUUCACUGUCAUCUGGGGUCUCAUCUUCAUAGUGUUCCACUGCCACAACCUUCCCAGGGCCAUAUCUGGUGUAAGUGAACCCCCAUGUUGGAAACAUCAAUUUAAGCAAUCUCUCCAAGUGUUUGUCACAGUAUUCCCGCCCUCGCUUGUAAAACAACAGAGGUCCAAUGGAGAUUGCUGCUCCUACUCCAUAUCCCACACCCAUAAAUAUCAACUGCCAAUCAUAAGUGUCAUCUUCAAAACUUGGCGGUGGUGUCAACUCUGAAGCAUUACUUUUGCAACUUCCAUUGAGAGGGAACCCGCAUAGGCCUCUGUUUCCUUCAAAGGAAUCUUCCGAGAAUGUUUGAAGUUGAUUACUUAGCGGGAUUUUACCAGAUAAAUUGUUGAACGAUAGGUUCAAAGAUGCUAUGAAUGUGAGAUUUGCAAGCUCUGAGGGGAUCUCCCCGGACAGGUGGUUUGAUGACAAGUCUAGUGAUUCAAGCACUUGUAGCUUCCCGAUUGAUCUUGGAAUUGGUCCUGCAAGGGCAUUGUGUGACAGGUUCAGAACAUAAAGUGAGCUAAGAUCCCCAACUGUAUCUGGUAGCACUCCUUGAAAUCUAUUUGAAGAGAAAUCAAUAGAUGUGAAGACCCUGAGAAUUUUCACAAGCUCCAGCUCCAGCCCUUUGAUGGUUAUUGUCACUGUAUCCUGAUAGUAAAAGUUACUUUGUGCAAGGAACUGAAACUGGAUGUGAUUGCGUCCUGUCUCCACGUAAUCAUCUUCAACCAUCAUUCCUCUCCAAUUUGAAAAGCAUUCCGCAUUCAACACACCGGUAAAAUCAUUGGAAGCUAUAUCUAUGAUCUGGAGAUUCUGCCAGCUAUUUCUUGUUACAUCACAUGUAAGUUUUCCAUAGAAGUGAUUGGAACGCAUGACUAGGACUCUUAGAUUGCCUGAGCUCCUCAACAUGCAUGGGAAACGAUCAAUAAGGUUGUUAUUUCCAACAUUCAGGACCUCCAAUAGCUCACAGUUGACAAGAGAUUUUGGCAGCUCCCUUUUUAAGAAAUUCCUACUGAGGUCUAAAGUUUUCAGCGCACAACCAAUUGGAAAUGAAUCUGGUAUAACACUAUUGAGAUGAUUGUUCCCUAGAUUCAGCACUCCAAGAGUUGUACUAUAUUCCAGUAGACAUGGUGGUAUUGUUCCACUCAAGGCAUUGUUAGACAAAUCAAGAACUUGAAGAUAGUUGGCCUUGCAUAUUGAUUCAGGAAUUCUUCCAGUGAGGCUAUUAUUUGCAGCUGAGAAAAAGGAAGCAAAAACAAUUGAAUCACCAAUAUCUAGUGGGAUAGAAUUGCUGAAAUUAUUGCUUGAGUAGUCCACAAAGAUGGCAGUAGAAGGUGGAAUUGGUAGGUCACCUUUUAUUCGGUUGGAAUGCAAGUCAAAGACUAUAAGAUUGCUGGAAACACUGUAAGGCUGUUCCAGGUACUCCAGCUGAUUGAAGGAAAGAUUCAGGUGAGUGAGAGCUCCCUCCCCAAUUCCCCAAAUCCAAUUCGGAAUUGCUCCCUUUAUUUUGUUGUCAGAAAGGUCUAAUUGGAUUAUCCUUGGCUGAUUUUUAAGAUCAGGAAAAUGUUGCAACCGACAAGAAGCUAGUUUCAAUACGCUCAUCUGCGGAAAAGUGAAAGAGGUUGAAUUGCUUCUACCUGUUUCAAUGGUCAAGUUAUUGUAAGAAAGCUCUAGUCUUGUAAGGCUACUGAGACUCCCAAUGAGAUCUAGUGGCACUGUCCCACUAAAGAAGUUGGAAGAAAGUGAGAGGACCUUAAGCCUCUCAACCUCAAAGAUGGACUUGGGAAUCGAUCCAUUCAGAAGGUUGUUGCUCAAAUCAAUUGUAUCCAGCAUAGAGGAGGAUGCAUUCAGGAAUUUGUUGACCGGUCCAAUAAAUUGAUUGCUAUAAAGAAAAAGCUUCUGCAAGGAGGGCAACUCAAAGAUAUAAGAAGGAAGAAUCCCGUUGAGUAAGUUGUUCCCUAAAUUUAUGUACACAAGCUCUGAAAGUCCUUUGAAAUGAGCAGGGGAGAGGAGACCAGUUAAACCAUUAUGAGAGAGGUCCAAGUAGGUGAGUUUCUUGGACCAUUGUAAAUAUGGGACAGAACCAGUGAAGUUGUUCAAGGAGAAAUCUAAGUGAACAAGAUUCGUAAGGUUUGCCAUUGUGGAAGGUAUUGGUUCACUGAAAUUGCAAUUGGAGAGGUCUAACUUGGACAAGUUCCGAAGGUUGGAAAUGGACUCGGGUAAUGAACCAGAAAAAUUGGUGUAGCUUAGUGAUAUCGUCCUCAAAGAUCCAUUUCGAGGAAAAUUCAGAAUAUUACCACCAAGCAACUUGUUAUUUGACAAGUCCAAAAUCUCUAAAACUGGUACCUGAAAGAUUCUUUUAGGAAAUGCUCCCUGCAGAUUACAAGAGCUGAGGGUCAAGGUAGUCAUGUUUGAGAAAUUGGCAAAAUAUUCAGGUACUGAGGUAGAGAGAUUGUUCUGGUCAAGAUGGAUAAUAGAUAAAAACUGAAGCUUAGAAAGUGAUUCAUCAAUAGGGCCUGAAAUUUGACUAGUACGCACACUCAAGAUAGUCAAGUUAGGCAAAUACGACGAUAAAGAUUGACACCACUCGCUCCUUUGAGCUGAAAGAUCAACACCAUCAAGAUAAAGCUCUCUAAGUUCUGUUGAGUUCUCAAUGAAAUGUCUCAAAUUGGGAUUCUCAAGUUUUAGUGGAUGGAUUACAUCAGGAAAAAGAGUUGAGAGAUCAAGAGUAACCAGCCUUGUUAAUCUUGAUAACAUCAUUGGAAUUUGUCCAGCAAAACCAGCAUUCGAUAAAUUCAGGUACUUCAAGUUCGUGAGGUUGUCUAUACCAACUGGUAUGCCAACAUUGAACCUGUUGUAAGCCAAAUUUAGCUUCUCAAGAUAUCGAAGACUGAAAAGUGCACUUGAAUUCUCAAUUCCACUAGAAAUUGUCUCAUUAUCCAAUUCCAAGGCAAUCACAUGACCAGAGCCAUCACAUGUAACCCCAUUCCAUUUGCAACAUUCACUUGUGUUCUGGUUCCAUCUUGCCAAUUUAUUUGACAGAGUAGAAUCAUAAUGGAGGCUGCCCUUCAACUGCAGCAACAAUGCUUUUUGAUCAUCAAGACAUUGAGAGGAAACCAAGAAAAUCUCAUUACCUGAUAAUAUUUGGCAAAAGGGUAUCAAGAAAAGCCAUAGAAAAUGUAAAACUCUCAUUGCAUAAACCUUGUAUGGACUCCCAUAAAACUAACAAAUGAAGUCUUGUUGGAAUUAUAACCCAUCAAACUUCUUCCUUUUUCCACUUUGUGGGUUCCCCUUUGUUCAAGUUCUGAAUGAAGCGAAAGAGAAGGUAGAAAAGAGAGGUGAUUGCAAUGAAUAGAAAAGAAGAUGAAGAAUUGGUCAAAAGGACAAUAGGACAAGUGCUGUCUGUUUAAUAAUCGAUGUACAGAUUGUAUUGUUUCUUCUUUCUACGCGUUUUUUUGUCGGCCCUAUUUGUUUAUUCGUUGGGUGACUUUGAAGCUACUCUUCUCCUAAUUGAGAAAAUACUAAUCAAAACCUUGACCUUUUACAUUUGUUUUUAAUUUAUGAUUGAGGAGUUUCUAUGGAAGUGGGGUUGACUAUUUUCCAUUGGAUUCUGUCGCAUGCAAUUUCUUUGACUAGUAAUAAUGUAUUAUUAGUAUAAGGAAAAAUGACAUUUCGGAUCUCUCUAUUAUGUCAGUUUUAUAAGUUGGACACUUCUACUUAUAUGUUUAUCAUCUGAAACCCUAAACCUACUAAAAAGCAACAUUUUAAAUCUUUUUUUGGUCUCUCCCGCGUCUGUUGUCACGUCAGUCAUGCCUGCCACAUCAUCUACCACGUCAUUUUUAAAAAAAUAACAAUAAUAAUAAUUUAAUUAAAUAAGAAAAAUUUAUAAAUUGUAGAAAAAUUUGAAUAAUCAUGCUUUUAAAAUUUGAAAAUUUUGAAUAAUUAUUUUUAAAAUAAAAAAUAAUAGAAAAAGUAUUACACUAAAAUUAAUGAAAUAUUAAAAUUAAUUUAAUUAAUUAAUUUAAAUUUUAAAUUUAUAUUAGUUAAAAAUUAAUUAAUUGAAAUUCUUAACUAAUUUAUUUAUUUAAAUUAAUAAAUUUUAAAUUAAUUAAUUUAUAAAUUUAAAAUUCUUGCAAACUAAGGCAUCCGGAAGAAAAUUUGGAGGCUAAAGGGCAUGAAAAUCAGAAGUAACCUUUGAUCGUGAACUUCUAGUAACUCGCUUGAGGCUACCACCAGGGGAACAUACUUGCUCAGCAACUCUUUGUCCAAAGCCUGGAGGUGAAUGCAGAACACGAGAGCCAUCUUUCCCAUUAGUAUUCUUCUGAUGUCCACCUGGUUGACUCCUCUUUGGACGGACAACUUGGACAUCUUCAUCGCUGUCAUCUUCGGCAUCUUUUCCAUUAGUAUUCUUCUGAUGUCCACCUGGUUGACUCCUCUUUGGACGGACAACUUGGACAUCUUCAUCGCUGUCAUCUUCGGCAGAAGUUGAUGGCUCCAAGGAACUUGGUUCAUUUCUAGAUCUUCUGGGUCUGCUAUCAUGCUUGUCAGUUAGAUGUCCAACACCAUUACUCUUCUCAGAUGACUUUGCUGAACUCUUAUGUUUUGAUUGUGGUGAAGGAUAAUCUGGAGAAGUCUCUGUUGAAAAGCAUAAUCAAGAUAU